rnacentral:lncRNA from 1 species
UUUCUCUCUGGAGCUGUUGGUCAGAAAAGCCAAGUGAACUUCCAAAAACCAUCCUAGGAUGAGCAGCAUUACCAUAAAGAUGCAACAGCCACACCAUGAUGGGAUAUUUGCUCAUAAGGGAUGAAGAAUAUGAGAGAGGGUCCUCAAGGUGCUGUAUGCUAGGCAGUUAAAAAUAUUGUAUUUCUGAACAGACUGCUCUGUGUCACUGUAAAAUGUCUCCACCUGAAUCAUGAAAAGGCAAACUCUCAGUGGAGAUCCACCCUGAUGUAUGUGACUAUAAGACGUUUCCUGUCCUUUUCCAUCUGUGAGCAAUGUGCACG